UACGUAGGGUGCGAGCGUUGUCCGGAAUUACUGGGCGUAAAGAGUUCGUAGGCGGGUCUUUAAGUCAGGGGUGAAAUCCUGGAGCUCAACUCCAGAACUGCCCUUGAUACUGAGGAUCUUGAGUUCGGGAGAGGUGAGUGGAACUGCGAGUGUAGAGGUGAAAUUCGUAGAUAUUCGCAAGAACACCAGUGGCGAAGGCGGCUCACUGGCCCGAUACUGACGCUGAGGCACGAAAGCGUGGGGAGCAAACAGGG
rnacentral:rRNA from 1 species